AUGGUUGGUUGUGGCCAGCGAGGCUGAAGAAGCCGGGACGCGGGUCUCUGGGCCUUGGGAACCGAGCCUGUACUCACCUCCGCCCCUUCUCCCCGCCGCUGUCCGCAGCCAUGGCUCUACGCUACCCUAUGGCCGUGGGCCUCAACAAGGGCCACAAGGUGACCAAGAACGUGAGCAAGCCCAGGCACAGCCGCCGCCGCGGGCGUCUGACGAAACACACCAAGUUCGUGCGGGACAUGAUUCGGGAGGUGUGUGGCUUUGCCCCGUUCGAGCGGCGCGCCAUGGAGUUACUGAAGGACAAAGGGGCCCUCAAGUUUAUCAAGAAAAGGAUGGGGACGUACAUCCGCGCCAAGAGGAAGCGGGAGGAGCUGAGCAACGUAUUGGCCUGGCUGCUAUGAGGAAAGCUGCUGCCAAGAAAGACUGAGCCCCUCCCCUGGCUUCUCCCUGAAAUAAAGAACAGCUUGACAGGGAAAAAAAAAAAA